AUUGAAAAGUCUCCACUCAAUCUCAAAUCUCUCCUACCCUAACCCUCAAAGGUUCAAUUUGUGUGUUCAAGCUGAGUCUGCUUCUAGUCUAAAUCUUCUACGGUAUUUUUGGUGGCCGGCUAAAAUUGAAGUAUGACGCCGUGUUUAACCACGUGGGUUUUAAAAGAAGAGUGAAACGUUCACUAGUGGAGAUGGUUUUAGGAAUUGUAUCCUUAAAAUGGAGGAACGUGAGAGAGUCAAGUGACGUGUUUUUUCUCUGGACUCUGAGUCUCCAUUCGGCAAUCAUCUUCAUUCUUCACCAAAAGAAUUUUCUCUAUUCCCUAUACCACGAUUCAUAUUUGCCGUUAAUCUCUCGUCGAAAAUCUGAAGUACUCGUUCAUUUUUUCGUCAAUCUUUUUUCGAGACUCGAAUUCAAGCUAAGUUUUAAAAGUGGCCAACCAGGCUAUCGACUUGAACGUGCGGAUUGAGGAAGCACGGGUAAAACUUUCGCCAGAGAAGUUAAAGGCAGAGACAUAUUCCUGUUGUCUGUUGAGGCUGUGAGGGAACUAUAUGAGAUUGUUCCAACUCAUAAAUGGAAAGACGGAGAAAACAGAAUCAACAAAAUAGUUUUUAUAGGUGGAUUGUUAAAUGAAGAGCUAUCAACCUGGUCAUAUGAUAAAAAAGGAAAGAGUAAACUAUUAUAUUGGUUGUAAUCUUAUUUUUUCCCUCUUUCUCGAGUUUAAGCAAUCAUGGAUAUUAAAAUUUAAAAAAAAAAAAUUAUAUUGGUUGUUCUUAUUCACUUUUAUCCAAAAUCGAAAACAUUUUGCUUAUAAAAUUGUGCAAUUAGUUUAUCUUAAUUUACAUUUGAUCAGGUCUUUGUUUUAUUUUUUAUUUUUUUGAUUUUCUUGGUUGUGAAAGUUCUUGUUAUCAUAUUCUGAUUUCUCACUGCUUGCCUGUGGAUUUUGUUUAUGUAUAACGUAACGUAACAUUGUGACAAGGAAGAUGCUUUUUGAUGGGAAGCUAGGCAUUGCUGGUGGGCAGGAGACUCGCAAGGACUUUGAUUUGUUUGUGAUUGGAGCUAGCGGUGGUGAAGUUUGUUCCUCACAAUUUCCUAGUCUAGAACUCAUUUUGUUUGUGAUGGGUUGUAACAACUAAAUAUUGGUUGCUAAUGUUGCAUCUUUUCCGACCAAAAAUUGGUAGUU